CCUAAACAGGGCACUUUCUCUGUGCGUUAUAAUUGGGAAAAGUGCUUUCUUGUUUGGGCCA
rnacentral:pre_miRNA from 1 species